CGGGGGCGGUGGUGGCAACAACCGCUUUCAGAAGAAAAACUAGUAAGAUGCCCGUGCUCCGCUACGGAAUCAAAAAAAUUAGAUGGACUUAAGUUAUAGUUAAGCGCAUGUGCAUUGCUACAAAAUAAUAUAAAGUAUCAAUACAUCCAUCAAAGCGAUCUUAUUUCUUCGUAGGUACACAUCACACAAUCAACAUGGUUCCUUACAGAACCUAGAAAUUUCCAGUGGAUGGACAUUAAUUUAUCUUGAGUCCUUGAGUAAUUUAAUCCUUGGUCCUAAUGACACACUCGUUUAACACCAGGCAUAUGCAACCCUUUCAAAAAAAAAUACAAAUAUGCAGAACAUAAUCAAACGACGGAAGAAAAAGUAAUGUACACAUGUAAUAUUCUUUCCAUUGGUUAACCCUGAAUCACUAAAUGAAGGAAAGCAGUGUAUUUUUUUUUGCGGGGGAGGAAAGCAGUGUAUUUAACAAUAUACAUUAUUAUAGUGCAUGAAAUAUCAAAUAGAAAUUAAACUACAUGAGAAAAUUGUUGAUCAGAACGCUAGCAUCUCUAUCCCUAAAAAGAUGCAGUAGGUUUAGCGCAUAAGAAGCAACAUAUUUCCAUAGAAAUUACUUGCAGGUUACACCGAACUUAGCUAAUAUUAUGUAUUUCACAUGGCAACUUAUUAUUAUUAAGCAUACUGACUUAACUAUCGAUACUUGUGAACUUUUGUUAUGUAUUUGACAUGGCAAGUUAUUAUUAUUAUUAAGUAGAAGAAGCUAAGACUCGUGAAAUCCCUAACUUUUUCUCAUAAGAACUAAUCGUUCCUAAUUACAUUUGAACUUUUGUGCCACAUUUCAGAAACUUUUGAUUCUUCUUGAAGAGAUCAACCUGUCUGUGAAGUGAAAACAGUAAUAAAAAGGACACUCAAAAUUCGAUAUUCAGAUAUGGAACUCUGCAAUUUUAGAGGAAACAAAUUGGCGGCAAAAGCUUGAAAGACACGAAUGCUAUGAUAUACAAUAUGCAAAUACAGAUUUUGAACUACUGGAGCUCUAAGUAUGAUAGCCAAAGCAUACGAGGACAACUUCUAGGCUUCUAAUCAGCACUUUCAAUUUAUAGGAUAUACAUAAAGGAGUUGAACCUGAAUUUUAUUCAAUGAAAUAGCCGAAUAGGGAUAUUAACAUCAGACGUAUCUGUGCCAACUAACAUCUGACAAAAGGCCUGGCAACUGGUGAGGAAAUUCUGGGAGGAACUGCACGGAUUGUAGUCAUAGGUAGCACACCAUAUAUACCUUACUUUGCCAUGCACUGGCACAAUUGGAUCUCAUAUUUAAUAACCUCGUCCGUCGUGCCAAUAUGUCCUCCUUACUGCAGUAUGUGUUCAACUGGUGAAAUGCCAAUGAAAGCUCAGUGGUGCUAUUUUGUACAUAAUAAUAAAUUUGUGGAACAACGGUGAAGAAAUGUGGACAUAUCUAUCUGAAAGUAUGACCACAUCUUGCAGCUAACAAGUAAAAAUAUGUACAACCAACAUGAUUUCACUAGAUCAGCUAAUAUGCAAGUUAUGUAAAGAAUCUAUAUAUAUCAUAACUUCUAAGCCAUUACCUCCUUGCAUGGGAAAUACUUAGACAUCACCUUAUGAAAUCUACGACAUGUUAACAUGAAAAUAACAACUAUAAUAUGAAAUUCAUAAUGCAUUUGUAUUUGCUCUAGAAGUCACAAAUUUGACAACUGAAGCCAUGGUGCAAAUUUUUGAACUAAUCACCUUGAAUCUUCUUUCUGAUUCUACCCCAAAAGAAUUUUAAGUCAUAGCAUUUUUUUUCUCAACCACAUUGCAUCUUCUUGUUGUGUGUUUCUUAUGCAUAAAAAAAUGCUGGUGGUUAGUUCAUCUAGAUACAUCUAGAUACAUCCCCUUUAUGCAUAAGAUACAUCCCUUUUUAUUUAUUUUGAUGACAAGUAUUCCCGGACGGAGGUAGUAUUAGCACACCUUCUCCAUCAUGUACGUUUCUCUGUGGUACUAUUACGAUGUACGUUUCUCUGGGUAGUCCUGAUUGAGUAAUCCAUUAAAAUCCAUUAAAAUCUAUUAAAAUCUAAGCAUAACUUAAGUAAUAGUGGGAUAAAUAAGUAACUUUAAUCUUGCUUUGCCUGAUUGAGUAAUAGUGGGAUAAAUACAUAAACUUUAAUUCUUGUUUUGCUUAAUUGCAUAAAGUAGUAGUCAGAUCUGAAAAUCAAGCAUCAACUCCUUUGCCAUGUAAGCAUAACGCAAAUGCACAAGGAAGCUGCUAUCAAACUUUGAGACUGAAUGACGCUUCACACUCAAUACUCGUAAAUUAAUUUGUAGAAGAAACAAUUUUCUUUCUGUAGUAAGAAAAGUUGUAAAUUUGUACUUAGCUUUGCAGAAAAAGGUGCCCAGGGCAUCUAGAGCAUGGACAUCUAGAGCUUUGCAUAUGCACCCUGCCUAGAUAGAUUAACAGUGAGAGCAAUAACAGAUUGCAUAGAGAACCUGACCACCGUCGAACCCCUCACCGGCGCCCUUCUUCUCUCGUUCCCUCGGCCCUUAACCGUCGUUGCUACUCCAAGAAAAUCCCAAGCCGGAGCCCCCGGCUUCGAUUCGGACUUCGCCGCCCUCCUGCCAGAGCCCCUCCAUCGGGUGAUGUCUGCGAUUGGCAUCACUGACAUCUUGCCCGCCAGCCGUGCGUGCCACCACGCGCUAUAGGGGUAGGGGGAUGAGACAGCGGUGAGGAGGGAGAGGUGCUGGGUGGCGGAUCUGCUGCAUUGGUGGAGUAGGUAGGAGAGGCCUUGCAGACUCGGCACACGUACGGUGCCAGCAGCGUCGUAGGAGACGACGGGAAGGAGGGGAGGUGGAAGUGGAGGUUGGCGGUGAGGCUUUGCGACAGCGAGGAGUUGGGAGCCGCCGGCGCCGGCGGCGUGCAGAGUGCGUGGCCGCUGCCACUUCGGUUCCACUUUUUUCCAGAAGGAUCGUUUGCUGGGCUGAUUGGAU
rnacentral:lncRNA from 1 species